AUUGAACGCUGGCGGCAUGCCUUACACAUGCAAGUCGAGCGGCAGCGCGGGGGCAACCCUGGCGGCGAGCGGCGCACGGGUGAGUAAUGCAUCGGAACGUGUCCUUUUGUGGGGGAUAACCAGUCGAAAGACUGGCUAAUACCGCAUGAGAUCGAGAGAUGAAAGCAGGGGACCCGCAAGGGCCUUGCGCGAGAGGAGCGGCCGAUGCCCGAUUAGCUAGUUGGUGGGGUAAAAGCCUACCAAGGCGACGAUCGGUAGCUGGUCUGAGAGGACGACCAGCCACACUGGGACUGAGAUACGGCCCAGACUCCUACGGGAGGCAGCAGUGGGGAAUAUUGGACAAUGGGGAAACCCUGAUCCAGCGACGCCGCGUGGGUGAAGAAGGCCUGCGGGUUGUAAAGCCCUUUCAGUGGGAAGAAAAGCCUCGACCUAACACGUCGGGUCUUGACGUAACCCAUAGAAGAAGCACCGGCUAACUCUGUGCCAGCAGCCG
rnacentral:rRNA from 1 species